UAUCUAGGGUUAAAGUGGUAAAUUGAACCCUCCCUAAGUCACUGCCGCUAUGCGUAUAAUUACCCCACAGCUGCUAUUCCGAUAAAUAAACACCGUAAGUACCGAAAAAAAAAAGAAGAAAUAAGGGAUGCGUGACAGUUCAUCAAUGGCAGCUCUGCAGUCUGGCACUGGGUUUUAUCUUCUUCCUCUCUCUUGAAUCUAGAUUAAUUUGCGAUAGAUUCCUGCAGUUUUCCAUGUAUAAAAAAUAUACUAUUAAAUUCAUAAUAUUUAUGUCACUUCGGAAGUCAAUGAGUUUGGCUGCCUGUGUUUAUGCAAAUUAUUUGGUAGGUAUAUUUGAUUUGUGUUUAUGGAGGGUAGAUCUAUGUGAUAUAUCACAAACUGAGAGCGGGAUGCUGUUAAUUAUUUUUUUAAAUUUUUGGGUUUUAUUUUGGUUGGUUAAGAACACUGGAGGCAGCGGUUCAUCGAUCUGUUCCCUGAAAGGCGAUAAACAAAAUAUAGCAACAGGAAUCGGUCGAUAAACCUCUGCAUCCAGCGCUUAACCCCCUUCUCUCUCAUAUGUUCAUGUUUGGUCUUUUAAGAUGUAUUAACUGCUUUUGUUGAAUUUUCUGCUAAAAUGUGUAGAAUUAAUUUGCUCUUCUCCUGAUCUGUAUACAGAUUAGAAUGAACAGUAUUUGCAAAAGCUUAUUUGUUCUAUCGGGAGCAUUUGGUGACAUGCUAGAUAGUCCUUUUGUCUUGAUUUUUGCUUUCUUGUCAUCUGUGUUUAGCGAGCUCAAAUUUCACAAAAAAUUGUCAUCUUAAAGAGAUAAUUACCGUACUAAAUAAUUAAUUAAGGUCUGGUUUUGGUUUAGUUGUGUAAAGAAAUAAGCUUGUAAUUAUAUGCACAUAUAUCUAGUCCUGUUUGCAUAGUUUAUCUAUUCGAAAAGAGUGCGGUUUAUAUUUUUCAUUCAUUUUGGCGAAAAUAGCAUAUCGGUAAAUGCAGCUGAACUUUUUCGGGGUGCUGAGGGAAGCUUUAAGAUAUAUUUAAUGCAUCUCCGUGCAAAGUUGCACCUAUUAUUUCGAUUACUGUUCAUUUCCAUAAGAAAAAGUUGUAACUAAUUAAGAACUUGUUUAGUUGCUCUACUUGUUGGUCCUGUUGAUAUGGGUAUUUUCUUGGGAGAUCAUAUGUUCGCUUCCCAUAAUAAUAGCCGAUAAGAAUGUAUAUGUGUGUAUUAUAUAGUAUAGUAUGUAUUUUAUACACUUUUCGGCUAAAGAAUGCAAUUAAUUUCAGUCGGCUAACCAGUUUUAUUUUUUUGUUCUAUUUUCUUUUUCUUCUUUUUAUGCCUCAUACAUAUCUAUUUCUGGUUGCCGUAAAUCAUUUUUCUACUGAUGUCAAGUUGAAUACUUAUGAUUCUUUGCGGAAAAUUCAUGCAAUUAAUUUGAUCCCCAUUUGCCCACUGCAGUGACACUUUGCAAAAAAGAAUUAGAAUUGGUGAAUAUACUCUUUCUUUGUCAUUGUCAUAUCUGGAAUUGGCUGGAGAGAAAGUUUACCUUCUAAAGAAAGUAUUGAAAGUGGGGAACAUGUCGUGCCUGUGAAAGUAAAGAGGAAUUGGAAAAUAGUUGUAUAAAGUGCCAAAUCGUCAGAGAAUCUUUACAAGUGAUGUGAACUCUUAGGAAUCUUGGUAUCACAUUCCUUUUGCAAAGCUAGAAACCUAGUCAAGAAUUUAGUAGGUUGGAGGAAUCAAAAUAACUUGUUUGACUGUACCCCUGAAUAGCAUCACUUAAAGGAAAAGAGUCUCCGUCACUUUCAAUAUUGAGGAUCUUCUUUUGCUUCUAGCUUUUUUGUGUUGUAAUUCAUAGAGUGGUGAUGUGCCCACUCAGCUUCCUGAAAGAUUAUUCUGCCAAUAAUAUUUCUUCCUUGAAACCAGCCUAUGUUGUUUGGGGGUCCUAUGAAUUUGUCCCCGGAAAGUUUUCACUAUGGGUGGUAAAAUUGUUCCUUACAUAUGGUGAUUCCAUUUCCAUGA